GGAUAUAGUGUGAGCCACCGCACCUGGCCUUCUUUUCUUUCUUUAAAAAUAUUUUUUUUCUUUGCUUUUUUUUUUUGUAUUCUCCACAUAGUUGAACAUCCUAAAGAAAUUCGUUCCUUUGCUUUAGUCUCGAAGAUGGAGCCCAGUUAGCUACAGAGCCAUCAGAGUCUAAGUGUCUGGCACCUGAGCUCCUCCUUGGCCCACAGAAAGGCUCUGCCCACCAGCUCCCCAGAGAGAAUAUGGAAAUGCUGCUUGGGACCAAAUAAGGGAAUAUAAUGAAAGGGGCCUCAGGGCUGAGUCUGUGUCUGAGUCACAUUUUAGCAAAGUGGCCACAUAGCUUCUGACUCAGAGCACAAAGAUUCUUCAAUUCUUCAUGGCAAGAAUGAGACUCACAAGAGCAUAGGCUCAGAAGUGGAAAGGAGGGUAGAGCUGUCUCCUCCUGUCUAGUCUAACCAAGGCAGCUAAGAAGCUGAGGCCAGAGAAGGGAGGGUCCCGCAGCCCUAGGGAGGGCCGGAGCCAGCUGGGGCUUCCAGACUCCCGGGAGAGGUGUCAUCCUGCCACCCACUCUGCAGGCUCUGCUCAGUCUGUUUGGACGCUGGGUGUGUCGGGAGGCCCUGUCACCCUGCCCCGACCCGGCUAUGCUGGGGAGACCUCAGCUUCCUGACUCAUACUCAGAAGGGAGUGUCUUAGAGGAAUUUCUUUCCACCCAAGCAGUCUAUGGACGGAUCAAAAGUGCAAGUCAUGUCAAGACCCAGAUCUUUUCUGAGUGGACAGCACUUCGGGAAGACCUACGUGGGAUGGUUGGAUCCUGGAGAAGCCUACAAGUGGCCAUCGAUUCAGUCGGGACACUGUAUUGCUCUGGAACAUGCGGGACUGGCUCACAUUGGUUCCUGAGAGGAGGGAGAAAAUGUGCGCAGGACAAAUUGGAGAUGUUGUUUCUCAGUUUGCAGUUGGUUGGAUCAUGUCAGCCCAUCAGGAUAUUAGCCAGGAUGGAAACGAGCCUGCCAGAGCAUUUGAGGAUGGGGAUUUGCCACUUGGGGAAUUAAAGACAACAAUGACAAAAUGAGCUUAUCAGAGGACCCAGUAGGAUUCUCAUUCCUAUGGCUGGGUACUGUUGGCAGGAGGGCAACUUCCUGGGCACUCGAAGGCAGGAGGAACUUGACUCUUCGCUGGGGAGAACAUGGCUAACAUCCUGUGCUGUACAGCUGUGGCCUUGCUGUUAAAUUCUUGUGUCUUCUAGUUAUGUUUAGAGGAAUUAUAUCUUUUUACUGUGUCUGUUGGCAUUUUUACAUCAAUCACGGUCCGUCUUGUAACAAUAAAAAAAUCUUCCAAAAACUGUUUUUCUGUUUAAAUUAGCCUAAAACUCACUCUCUUUCUCUCUCUCUCUCUCUCUGUCUUUUUGAGACACGGUCUCACUCUGUUACCCAGGCUGGAGUGCAGUGGCAC
rnacentral:lncRNA from 1 species